rnacentral:rRNA from 1 species
AACGAACGCUGGCGGCGCGCCUAAUACAUGCAAGUCGAGCGAGAAGGUGUAGCAAUACACUUGUAAAGCGGCGAACGGGUGAGGAAUACAUGGGUAAUCUACCAUCGAGUGGGGAAUAACCAGCCGAAAGGUUGGCUAAUACCGCGUACGCCUCCGAAUCUUCGGGUUCGGAGGGAAAGCCACACUGUGAGUGCGGCGCUCUUUGAUGAGCUCAUGUCCUAUCAGCUUGUUGGUAGGGUAACGGCCUACCAAGGCUUUGACGGGUAGCUGGUCUGAGAGGACGAUCAGCCACACUGGCACUGCGACACGGGCCAGACUCCUACGGGAGGCAGCAGUAAGGAAUAUUGCGCAAUGGGCGAAAGCCUGACGCAGCGACGCCGCGUGGGGGAUGAAGGUCUUCGGAUUGUAAACCCCUUUCGGGAGGGAAGAUGGAGCGAGCAAUCGUUCGGACGGUACCUCCAGAAGCAGCCACGGCCAACUUCGUGCCAGCAGCCG